UAAAAGCAUAGAACAUAAUUUAUGUAAAAAGAGACUAUAAAAGAGGCGGAAGGCGUAGAAUCUUUCUCUUUUGUAAAAUCAGUGAUCCUUGAAAGAAGUAGUAGUGCGCGCGUGUGUAAAUAAUAGAAGGAUCUGUUAGUCGUUAAAAAUAGUUGUUGUAAUGGUAAAGUAGUACGGUUUUGUGUAAAUUAAAAGCUAUUAGUACGUUUAAAUCCUGUAAAACAACACAAGAACAGAAAAACGACAGUAACAAACAAAUUAAAAGUCACCAAGAAAAAGGUAAAUAUCAUGUGCUGUGAACAGAUCAGAAAGUUUAGAGGUUAGGAAGUGACGUCGCAGGGUGCUAAUCCGUUGUGUCCAGGUCCAUGCCAAAGGGACCUUUUUCUUUUGUGCUUUUUCCAAGUUCUCGACAGUGCAGUGCAUCGGUGGAAACUUCCGUGGGCGAAGAGCUAGUUCCGGUUCCUUCGGCCGUAUAGAUCCUGACGAUUUGGAUGCCGGAGACUUUCGGUCCAAAUCCGUGCCGCCAUUGCUUUUGAGCACGCAGGAUUGCCGUUUGUUGAACGUAGGCCGCCAUCUUCCAGCCACAUUCCUGUGCCGCACUCGUCCCGACCGUGGAUUGACGUCCGGACUGUAAAGACCCUGCGACCAACGCCAAGCCGGCCAGAUCGAGCCUGAUCGGCCACCUCCACACCGAAUCCAACACCAAAGCGCAAGUACCCCCAAAUGUGACGUCACAAAUAA